CAAUAGCGUAUAUUAAAGUUGUUGCAGUUAAAAAGCUCGUAGUUGGAUUUGUGGCGUACGGUGUGUUCCGGGCACUUGUUGUCUGAGUAACCUGCUGUUGCCAUCCUUGGGUGGAACCUGUGUGGCAUUAGGUUGUCGUGCAGGGGAUGCCCAUCAUUUACUGUGAAAAAAUUAGAGUGUUCAAAGCAGGCUUAUGCCGUUGAAUAUAUUAGCAUGGAAUAAUGAGAUAGGACUUUUUUGCUAUUUUGUUGGUUUGCGCAAAGAGGUAAUGAUUAAUAGGGACAGUUGGGGGUAUUCGUAUCCCAUUGUCAGAGGUGAAAUUCUUGGAUUUUUGGAAGACGAACUACUGCGAAAGCAUUUACCAAGGAUGUUUUCAUUAA
rnacentral:rRNA from 1 species